AACGAACGCUGGCGGCGCGCCUAAUACAUGCAAGUCGAGCGAGAAGACGUAGCAAUACGUUUGUAAAGCGGCGAACGGGUGAGGAAUACAUGGGUAACCUACCCUAGAGUGGGGAAUAACUAGCCGAAAGGUUAGCUAAUACCGCGUACGCUCCUUGGACUUCGGUUCAGGGAGGAAAGCGAUACCGUGGGUAUCGCGCUCUUGGAUGGGCUCAUGUCCUACCAGCUUGUUGGNGAGGUACG
rnacentral:rRNA from 1 species